GUUAUGGCAAAUUAACAACAAUGGAAAGGCAUGAUAGCAGGCGAGGAGCAGAAGCAGAAGCUGCAACUCUGCGGUGAACAGAGAAGAAAGAAGUGGAAGGCGUGAUGAGCAGGAGGGGAUGAAGAGGACAGCUGUAUGGGCAUCUGGGAGACCAGGAGGCCAUCCUCUUGCGAAAUGGCAGAGAGACAACUGAAAAUGGAGUUAGUGAGGAGGUGCAAGGACGUGAUGAGAAAUGGACCCUCAUCCGCAUCCAUGCUGUCCCUCUCCUGCAUCGGCUGAGAUGAUGUCGAAGCAGGAAGGAGUGAUGGAUAGCGUGCUUCAUGCCAAACACUUGAGUGUGAGUGGUCAGCUAAUUCCCCACAUCACCACGUGCCGGGAUCUCGCCUCAUCUCUACUGCCUCAUUGAUAAUGGAGACAUGGCGAUCCUUGCGCCGAAGUUCCCGGUGCGGACGGACGACUCCCAGAACACCAGGUAGCGACGGGCACACCGCCUCCCCGCGCUUUCCCCAAACCGUGUCUGUUGGGUUGGCGGCCGUCCUGCUCAGACAGAGAUACGCCUGCUACUCUCCUCCCGCUGUGCAGUAACGUAACUAAGGAAUGGUAAUCACGACGUUCCUCCUCCUCCUCCUCCUCCUCCUCCUCCUCCUCCUCCUCUUCUGUAAGGUAAG